rnacentral:tRNA from 2 species
GACUUCGUGGCGCAAAGGUAGCGCAUCUGAUUCCAGUCCAGAAGGUUAUCCGUUCGAAUCGGGUCGAGGUCA